CCUACGGGAGACAGCAGUGGGGGAUAUUGCACAAUGGGGGAAACCCUGAUGCAGCGACGCCGCGUGAGUGAAGAAGUAUUUCGGUAUGUAAAGCUCUAUCAGCAGGGAAGAAAAUGACAGUACCUGACCACGAAGCCCCGGCUCACUACGUGCCAGCAGCCGCGGUAAUACGGAGGGGGCAGCGGUUAUCCGGAUUUACUGGGGGUAAUGGGAGCGUAGACGGUUAUGUAAGUCUGGAGUGAAAGCCCGGGGCCCAACCCCGGGACUGCCUUGGAAACUGGGAAACUGGAGUACAGGAGAGGCAGGCGGAAUUCCCGGUGUAGCGGUGAAAUGCGUAGAUAUCAGGAGGAACACCGGCGGCGAAGGCGGCAUGCUGGACUGAAACUGACGUUGAGGCUCGAAAGCGUGGGGAGCAAGCAGGAUUAGAUACCCCUGUAGUC
rnacentral:rRNA from 1 species